CUAAUUUAGGCUAAACCCAAAUUCCAUCCUUACAUAGUUCUAACUCCAUCCCAACAGACCACCUCCCUGGCCCAAAUUGUCAAACCCGACCCAUUCUCCACCGAAUAUACGAACGAAUGCAUACAACCCUAAAAAUCAAAAUCCCUAAUCCAGACGCGACUGUUCAUCAUCUCCUUCACUUCAGUUGCGUUCAACUCGCCAAAUCUCAGGCGAGUGAAUUCAAAAUCACCUCACGCGCAGCUUAUCUCACCACCUCAGCAAGAUUCUAACACCCUCUGACAGAUUUUCGUCUCCCGUGUGUUUUCUCGAGAAUGAAUUCUGAAAAAUGGGGACCGUAGAUUGAUUUUGAAUCGAUCCCCUCUCUCCAUCUGUCCGAAUUCGUUUUAGAGUAGAAUAUUCUCAGAUUUUUCUGGAAGAAGAGAAUAGAAGCUUCAUAGGAGGGG
rnacentral:lncRNA from 1 species